GGCCCACACAGCUGCUAGACCAACAUGGUUGCAUGACUCCCCUGGGUGAGAGAGAGAGAGAGAGUACUCGAAUGCACAAGACAAUACAGAAAAGUGUGAAGAAGAAAUUCGUAUUGCCUUUAUCCAGCACCCACGAUGACGUCUGGACGUGAAGUCAUCACCUAUCUCUGUGCAAACACACGCGUCUGUGCACACAACACAAGGAGAGAGAGAGGAAGGGAGAGAGAGAAACAUCAAUGUGAGAGAGAAACAUCCAUUGGUUGCCUCCUGUACGGGCCUGGACUAAGGAUCCUACCUCUAUGCCCAGACCAGAAAUUGAACCCACAACCUAGUCCUCCGUUUUUUCCUUUUCAUCACUCCACUGAGCCCCGUGGGUUGGCAGUGGGUUCCUCCCGGAGCUGCCUUGGCCAACAGCGGGCCGUGUGGCCCUUGGGGUGGAAACUGUACCCUGUGGAGCCUGCGAGCCUGGCAUCUUCCCGGACCUCAGAAAGCAGAACAUGAAGAGGACAACACUGUCUUUGGACUUGGAAACCUACAAAUUAAGAGUUCAUUGUGUUUGAAAGGUCCAGAAGGAUUGGGUUUAAGAUGAAUGGAAUAAUCGUCUUCCACAGAAGUAAAUUUACUUGGCGGGUUUCCACUACAAUGGAUUUAAAAAAAUGUCAGAUGGAACUAAAACAUUUAAGACAUAUGGUGCAUUAACUAAAUGUUUAAACAUUUGCCUUUAGCUGCGUGAACAUAUCACUGAUGAGAUGAGCUCAGUGAGCUAUGUUGAACAUCUUUGACUUAAUCACUGUCCAGUAGAGAGCUCUAUUUCUUGAGUCUAUUUAAUAUUAACCAUUCCUAGAUGCUUACAGCAGAUACCAAAUACAUGUUAUAAUUUCGCCGCUAAAUGCAAAUGCACAUAAAGACGAAAGAUCCAAUUGGGAAAAUAUAUCUGUAAUUUCAGUCAUUACUUUUUAUUUGAAAUAUGUUCUCUCGGAGAAGGGUGCAAAGAAGAUUGUUAGAGCAUCGCCGCGGGAAGCAGUAAAAGCCUCUGGAAUACCACCACCCGGUUUGAUCGUCUUUCAGAAAGUUCCUUGAUACUUUAACACUUGGUCAGCAAACAGGCAAGUGUGGGAGGGCACCCCCUCACCCUGUGUCUGCAGCAGACAUUGUUAAUCAAUCACAAUACUUAAUUUUCCUGCUGAGCCGGCACUUGGCCCGAGAAUUUUUCUGUACCCAGCACUGCAGGCAGCCACCACCGAUUGAUCCAACUUGGCACUUUUAAAAGAACCCUGUUUGCAAUCUCCAGACACAGAACAAUGAUGGAGCAGUGGGGGUUUCUACAUCUGCUCUACGUAACAGAUGUGUAGUAGCUGUGAACACUAGACCACUGGACAUGGUCGGAAUGUAUUCCUUCAAUUAAAAGGAUGGUUUUGGGGACCCUUUCGUCCUGGAAGACUUUACUAGGACUGGGGUUAGGUUCUAUCUAGUUGUAUCAAGAGCCGGUUUUCUAUCUUCCAGGCAGACUGGUCCCACAUAUACUGAUCUCUCUUCCUCCUUCAUACUCUGAGUUUUAUAAGCUCAGUGAAAACACUGAGGAUUCCGUACCCAUUUGAAAUAGAAUGAAUUGGGAACUAUAGAGACCUUAAAACUAUGAUAAUCACUUAAGUUCUGGAUAUUGCAGGGAACUUCCUACAGUAAAAGCUUGUGUAUAUGCGCACGUGUGUGUGCGUGUU